rnacentral:rRNA from 1 species
CUCUAUAUACGUAUAGCAUAUCAAUAAGCGGAGGAAAAGAAACUAACUAGGAUUCCCUUAGUAACGGCGAGUGAAGCGGGAAGAGCUCAAAUUUGAAAUCUUCAAGGUUCUACCUUGACGAAUUGUAGUUUAAAGAAGUGUUUUCUGUUGGAGUUUUGGUAAAAGUUCUUUGGAAUAGGACAUCAUAGAGGGUGAGAAUCCCGUAUUUGACCAUUUCUUCCAGCUGUGUGAUACACUUUCAAAGAGUCGGAUUGUUUGGGAAUGCAGUCCAAAAUGGGUGGUAAAUUUCAUCUAAAGCUAAAUAUUGGCGAGAGACCGAUAGCGAACAAGUACCGUGAGGGAAAGAUGAAAAGAACUUUGAAAAGAGAGUUAAACAGUACGUGAAAUUGUCAAAAGGGAAGCGUUUGACACCAGUGUUGUUUUCUCGAAAAUCAAUUAAAAAUGACCGGAUUUUGUGUUGUAUUGACUUUAUCAGCUUUCUGCACUUUUUUCUUAUCUUUUUUAAUGCACUUUUCGUUUAACAAGUCAACAUCGAAUUUCUUUUGUUGUAAAAGGGUCAUUGGAAGGUGGCUUUCAUUUCGGAUGAAAGUGUUUAUAGCCUUUGACUUCUGCAAUCGGAGAGAUUGAGGUCUGCAGCGUAGAUCCCUUCGGGGUUAGAUAGCAUUUGUGCUAAGUUAUAGCUUUUCAUAGACAACAUUGUUGACUAUGAUUAGUCAUGUAGCUUACUCGCUUAUGCUAUUUUACCUACGCUUAGGAUGUUGACACACGCGCGUGCUCG